GACAGAGGAUGCAAGCGUUAUCCGGAAUGAUUGGGCGUAAAGCGUCUGUAGGUGGCUUUUUAAGUCCGCCGUCAAAUCCCAGGGCUCAACCCUGGACAGGCGGUGGAACUACCAAGCUGGAGUACGGUAGGGGCAGAGGGAAUUUCCAGUGGAGCGGUGAAAUGUGUAGAUAUCAGGAGGAACACCGGUGGCGAAGGCGGGUCUCUGGGCCGGAACUGGACGCUGGAGGAGCGAAAGCGUGGGGAGCGAACAGG
rnacentral:rRNA from 1 species